rnacentral:rRNA from 1 species
AAUAGAUACCCGGGUAGUCCACGCCGUAAACGAUGAGUGCUAGGUGUUGGGGGGAUCGCCCCCUCGGUGCCGAAGUUAACACAUUAAGCACUCCGCCUGGGGAGUACGGUCGCAAGACUGAAACUCAAAGGAAUUGACGGGGGCCCGCACAAGCAGCGGAGCAUGUUGCUUAAUUCGAGGCAACGCGAAGAACCUUACCUGGGUUUGACAUGUACGGAAAAGCCGCAGAGAUGCGGUGUCCUUUUGGGCCGUACACAGGUGGUGCAUGGUUGUCGUCAGCUCGUGUCGUGAGAUGUUGGGUUAAGUCCCGCAACGAGCGCAACCCUUGUCCUAUGUUGCCAGCGGGUAAUGCCGGGGACUCGUAGGAGACUGCCGGGGACAACUCGGAGGAAGGUGGGGAUGACGUCAAAUCAUCAUGCCCCUUAUGUCCAGGGCUGCAAACAUGCUACAAUGGCCAGUACAAAGGGCUGCUAUACCGCGAGGUUGAGCGAAUCCCAUAAAGCUGGUCUCAGUUCGGAUUGCAGGCUGAAACCCGCC